rnacentral:rRNA from 1 species
UACGUAGGGGUCGAGCGUUGUCCGGAGUUACUGGGCGUAAAGCGCGCGCAGGUGGCUCGUUGCGCCCGGCGUGAAAGCCCCCGGCUUAACCGGGGAAGGUCGUCGGGGACGGGCGAGCUUGAGGGCGGCAGGGGCCGGUGGAACUCCCGGUGUAGUGGUGAAAUGCGUAGAGAUCGGGAGGAACACCUGUGGCGAAGGCGGCCGACUGGGCCGACCCUGACGCUGAGGCGCGAAGGCGUGGGGAGCGAACGGG